GCGGGACCGGGCCCCUCUGGCGCAGGCAUUCUUGCCGCGUGAUGUCGGACCGCAUC
rnacentral:ncRNA from 1 species